ACCUAGGCGACGAUCCCUAGCUGGUCUGAGAGGAUGACCAGCCACACUGGAACUGAGACACGGUCCAGACUCCUACGGGAGGCAGCAGUGGGGAAUAUUGCACAAUGGGCGCAAGCCUGAUGCAGCCAUGCCGCGUGUAUGAAGAAGGCCUUCGGGUUGUAAAGUACUUUCAGCGGGGAGGAAGGGAGUAAAGUUAAUACCUUUACUCAUUGACGUUACCCGCAGAAGAAGCACCGGCUAACUCCGUGCCAGCAGCCGCGGUAAUACGGAGGGUGCAAGCGUUAAUCGGAAUUACUGGGCGUAAAGCGCACGCAGGCGGUUUGUUAAGUCAGAUGUGAAAUCCCCGGGCUCAACCUGGGAACUGCAUCUGAUACUGGCAAGCUUGAGUCUCGUAGAGGGGGGUAGAAUUCCAGGU
rnacentral:rRNA from 1 species